GUAGGGAAUAUUGGACAAUGGGGGCAACCCUGAUCCAGCGACGCCGCGUGAGUGAUGAAGGCCUUCGGGUCGUAAAGCUCUGUUGCAGGGGAAGAACACAAUGACGGUACCCUGCUAGAAAGGAUCGGCUAACUUCGUGCCAGCAGCCGCGGUAAGACGAGGGAUCCUAGCGUUGCUCGGAAUCAUUGGGCGUAAAGAGGGCGUAGGUGGCUUGGUAAGUCAGGUGUGAAAGCCCAGGGCUCAACCCUGGAAGUGCAUUUGAUACUGCUGAGCUUGAGUGUCGGAGAGGUUACCGGAAUACCUGGUGUAGUGGUGAAAUACGUAGAUAUCAGGUGGAACACCGGAGGCGAAGGCGGGUAACUGGACGAACACUGACACUGAGGCCCGAAAGCGUGGGGAUCAAACAGGAUUAGAAACCCCAGUAGUCC
rnacentral:rRNA from 1 species